rnacentral:rRNA from 1 species
CCUACGGGAGGCUGCAGUGGGGAAUAUUGGACAAUGGGCGAAAGCCUGAUCCAGCCAUGCCGCGUGUGUGAAGAAGGCCUUCGGGUUGUAAAGCACUUUCGGUGGGGAAGAAAGCCUUGGGGCUAAUACCCUCGAGGAAGGACAUCACCCACAGAAGAAGCACCGGCUAACUCCGUGCCAGCAGCCGCGGUAAUACGGAGGGUGCGAGCGUUAAUCGGAAUUACUGGGCGUAAAGCUCGCGUAGGCGGUCUGAUAAGCCGGUUGUGAAAGCCCCGGGCUCAACCUGGGAACGGCAUCCGGAACUGUCAGGCUAGAGUGCAGGAGAGGAAGGUAGAAUUCCCGGUGUAGCGGUGAAAUGCGUAGAGAUCGGGAGGAAUACCAGUGGCGAAGGCGGCCUUCUGGACUGACACUGACGCUGAGGUGCGAAAGCGUGGGUAGCAAACAGGAUUAGAUACCCCAGUAGUC